rnacentral:rRNA from 1 species
GAUGAACGCUGGCGGCGUGCCUAACACAUGCAAGUCGAGCGAAGCGCUGUUUUCAGAAUCUUCGGAGGAAGAGGACAGUGACUGAGCGGCGGACGGGUGAGUAACGCGUGGGCAACCUGCCUCAUACAGGGGGACAACAGUUAGAAAUGACUGCUAAUACCGCAUAAGCGCACAGGACCGCAUGGUGUAGUGUGAAAAACUCCGGUGGUAUGAGAUGGACCCGCGUCUGAUUAGGUAGUUGGUGGGGUAAAGGCCUACCAAGCCGACGAUCAGUAGCCGACCUGAGAGGGUGACCGGCCACAUUGGGACUGAGACACGGCCCAAACUCCUACGGGAGGCAGCAGUGGGGAAUAUUGCACAAUGGGGGAAACCCUGAUGCAGCGACGCCGCGUGAAGGAAGAAGUAUUUCGGUAUGUAAACUUCUAUCAGCAGGGAAGAAAAUGACGGUACCUGAGUAAGAAGCACCGGC